GAGCCCGGGGUGUGUGUUAGGGUAGAUGACACACAUGGUAUUGUGUAUAUUCUAAAUUGUAUAAUAAAAACCAUGGCCCGGGGGGCAGCUGGGGGUUUUACAUAGGAAUAUAUAUGCGAUAUCUUACAAAAAUUCUGAGGAACAACAGAGCCUGAUUAAACUUAUUGAUACAAAAAUAUACACAAGUGAAGACGUUCAAGUUUCUUCAAUUCAUGAGCCUCGGGAAUAGAGAAGGAACAAAUUGAGCAAUAUUCCCCGUAAUGUUGCGAUUUAUGCAGGAUACGUUUCAACAAAAUCAUAUGGCACCUACUAGUAUACAAAGAUCAUAUUCACCAACAUUCUACGGAUGAUGGAGAAGGUUGUGCUGCAAAUUAUCAAACUUUAAAUGAAAUCAUCAUAAAGAAAACUGGUAACAGACCAGUAAGUGCAGAACAUGUGUAUGACUUGGAAAAACACAUCGAUGGAUUCCCUCAUCCACCACCAGGGACAUUGACCAUGACAACAGUGGAACAGUGUCAUGGACAGAACCUGAUAACUCUACAUUCAUACGGGGUCUGGCAGGAUGGAGUGAUAUUCCUGAAGAAGAUGAAUCCUGUUAAAUGAAUAUUUUUCAACAUUAUCCCCACAGUGAUCUAAUAAAAAUGUACAAACAUAUUAUGAGAGAAGUAGGUCGCAGUCCAACAGUCCGAGAGUUGAGCCUAUUGUUUCCAAUUCUUGAAGGCAAUGAAGCUCUUGAGUCCACCCGUAAAACACCAG